rnacentral:rRNA from 1 species
GACGAACGCUGGCGGCGUGCCUAAUACAUGCAAGUCGAACGAGAGCGACCGGUGCUUGCACUGGUCAAUCUAGUGGCGAACGGGUGAGUAACACGUGGGUAACCUGCCCAUCAGAGGGGGAUAACAUCCGGAAACGGAUGCUAAAACCGCAUAGGUCUUCGAACCGCAUGGUUUGAAGAGGAAAAGAGGCGCAAGCUUCUGCUGAUGGAUGGACCCGCGGUGCAUUAGCUAGUUGGUGAGGUAACGGCUCACCAAGGCCGUGAUGCAUAGCCGACCUGAGAGGGUGAUCGGCCACAUUGGGACUGAGACACGGCCCAAACUCCUACGGGAGGCAGCAGUAGGGAAUCUUCCGCAAUGGACGCAAGUCUGACGGAGCAACGCCGCGUGAGUGAAGAAGGUUUUCGGAUCGUAAAACUCUGUUGUUAGAGAAGAACAAGUGCUAGAGUAACUGUUAGCGCCUUGACGGUAUCUAGCCAGAAAGCCACGGCUAACUACGUG